AAUUGGUAGGCUAAAAUCUGCUUCUGUCAUUGGAUCUCUUCCUCUGGACAAAAGCAAAACUUAUAAUGCAUAUUGCUUCCCAAGAGGAAAACUCCUCGACAUUUACCGCAAGCUAAAGACUGCUACUUAUUUUGACAUCCUGUCUGACGAGAUGGAUCAUUUAUUACCAAUAACACAAAAAGAAACUGUGGAGCCUUUGGCUUUUGUUCCUCCUGAUGCAGAAGAAGAGGCUGUCCUUGGAGAUAUAUGGAAGGGAAAAGCUACAAGCAGUGGAGUGUUGUACAACUCAUAUAGAGACACAAGUGAAGGGAAACAAAGUUCCUUGGUUAACAGGGAGGAUG